AUACGAGAGAGACGACGAGACAGACGACGAUCGCUGAGACGACAUAGUCGACGAGAAUCAACAGAUACGAAGAUAUUCUAGUGAGAAGACGGAGAAGUCGAGAAUGCAAACCAAAAGCCAUUUGACUUUGUCACGACGAAAGAGAGAGAGCAUUUGAUUUGCGGUCGAAUCAUAACCCGCCACGUAAGGGCUUUCUAGCUGCUCUAAAAAACCCAAAUAAGACAGCGGCUCUAAAGUUUUUUGGCCUUUUUGAUUUAUUUUUAAUCACCUUUUCUUAAGAGCCUGUUGUUAAGAACUCCCGAUGGACCUGCUCUCAUAGUCUCAUAGAUACAGAAUCUAGAUUUUUGUUAUUGUUUUGUCUUAGUUAUUUGAGACGAUGAUGAUCUUAAGGAGAAUUGACUUUUAACUUGCUAAAACCCUCGUCUUCUAUUUCUUGUUUCAGUCAAUUUC
rnacentral:lncRNA from 1 species